UGGGGAAUAUUGCACAAUGGAGGGAACUUUGAUGCAGCGACGCCGCGUGAACGAGGAAGGCUUUCGAGUCGUAAAGUUCUUUUAUAUGGGAAGAUAAUGACGGUACCAUAAGAAAAAGCCCCGGCUAACUACGUGCCAGCAGCCGCGGUAAUACGUAGGGGGCUAGCGUUGUCCGGAAUCACUGGGCGUAAAGGGUUCGCAGGCGGAAAUGCAAGUCAGGUGUAAAAGGCAGUAGCUUAACUACUGUAAGCAUUUGAAACUGCAUAUCUUGAGAAGAGUAGAGGUAAGUGGAAUUUUUAGUGUAGCGGUGAAAUGCGUAGAUAUUAAAAAGAAUACCGGUGGCGAAGGCGACUUACUGGGCUCAUUCUGACGCUGAGGAACGAAAGCGUGGGUAGCAAACAGG
rnacentral:rRNA from 1 species